rnacentral:rRNA from 1 species
CAGUAGCCACGGUAAUACGUAGGUGGCAAGCGUUGUCCGGAAUUAUUGGGCGUAAAGGGCUCGCAGGCGGUUUCUUAAGUCUGAUGUGAAAGCCCCCGGCUCAACCGGGGAGGGUCAUUGGAAACUGGGAAACUUGGGUGCAGAAGAGGAGAGUGGAAUUCCACGUGUAGCGGUGAAAUGCGUAGAGAUGUGGAGGAACACCAGUGGCGAAGGCGACUCUCUGGUCUGUAACUGACGCUGAGGAGCGGAAGCGUGGGGAGCGAACAGGAUUAGAUACCCCUGUAGUCCCUGUCUCUUAUAC